UGUUUUCUCUUUAUGCAGUCUGAAGAACAACUGUAUCACAGAAGGAGGGUGUCAUGUUCUGGCUGCAGCUCUAAAUUCAAACCCUUCAAAUCUGACAGAGCUGGAUCUGAGUGAGAAUAAACUAGGAAACCCAGGAAUGAAGAUCAUCUUGACUCUGUUUGAAAAUCUACAGUGUAGACUGGAAAAGCUGAAGUUAAACUGCAUCAGUAUUACAGAUGAAGGUUGUGCUGCUCUGGCAUCACUCAAGAACAUUCUAUGACUGAUCCCUGAACCAAGCAGAAGUAGAUUUGGAUGUGUACUUUGUGAUGACUGUCCUGCAGGAAAGUCCAUUGAUCAUCAGCUUCAGUCUUUGCACCAAAGGCAUCACAGUUCUUGUGAAAAUGGCCUGAUACUUCAAAGAAUCCAUGAUGUCCUUCAUACACUCAUGAUUUCCACUUCCUGCUGCAGUAAAGCAACCCCAUAACAGCACUGAUCCACCUCCAAGUUUGACGAUGGAGAUGGUGUUCUUCUGCGUAUGAGCUUUGUCUCUUUUUGC
rnacentral:lncRNA from 1 species